rnacentral:rRNA from 1 species
CCUACGGGUGGCAGCAGUGGGGAAUAUUGGGCAAUGGGCGCAAGCCUGACCCAGCAAUGCCGCGUGAAGGAAGAAGGCUUUCGGGUUGUAAACUUCUUUGACAGGGGAAGAGCAGAAGACGGUACCCUGAAAACAAGCCACGGCUAACUACGUGCCAGCAGCCGCGGUAAUACGGGGGAUGCAAGCGUUAUCCGGAUUUAUUGGGUUUAAAGGGUGCGUAGGCUGUGAGGUAAGUCAGCGGUGAAAUGCCCCCGCUCAACGGGGUGAAGUGCCAUUGAUACUGCCUUGCUGGAAUGCGGAUGCCGUGGGAGGAAUGUGUGGUGUAGCGGUGAAAUGCAUAGAUAUCACACAGAACACCGAUUGCGAAGGCAUCUCACGAAUCCGCGAUUGACGCUGAUGCACGAAAGCGUGGGUAUCAAACAGGAUUAGAUACCCUUGUAGUC